rnacentral:lncRNA from 1 species
UAUUUUGGAAAGCCUAGCUGAACUUGUAUAAAAGCCCUGUGAUUACAAUUUAUACAUCAUUUCAACAAUGAACAUCGAGAGUAAAACAUCUCCGCGACAUUGGCGCAUUGAAGAUAUACUUUUGUAUCUCAACAAUAAUGUCUAAUUGACUGAAAUAUUGUCUAAUUUUUUGCCGGCAAAGCCCGCUCUUUCCGCCCGCGCGAAAUGAUCCGUG